UACGGAGGGGACUAGCGUUGUUCGGAAUUACUGGGCGUAAAGCGCACGUAGGCGGAUUUGUAAGUCAGGGGUGAAAUCCCGAGGCUCAACCUCGGAACUGCCUUUGAUACUGCAAAUCUCGAGUCCGGAAGAGGUGAGUGGAACUGCGAGUGUAGAGGUGAAAUUCGUAGAUAUUCGCAAGAACACCAGUGGCGAAGGCGGCUCACUGGCCCGAUACUGACGCUGAGGCACGAAAGCGUGGGGAGCAAACGGG
rnacentral:rRNA from 1 species